rnacentral:rRNA from 1 species
UACGAAGGGGGCUAGCGUUGCUCGGAAUCACUGGGCGUAAAGGGCGCGUAGGCGGCCAUUUAAGUCGGGGGUGAAAGCCUGUGGCUCAACCACAGAAUUGCCUUCGAUACUGGAUGGCUUGAGUUUGGUAGAGGUUGGUGGAACUGCGAGUGUAGAGGUGAAAUUCGUAGAUAUUCGCAAGAACACCGGUGGCGAAGGCGGCCAACUGGACCAAUACUGACGCUGAGGCGCGAAAGCGUGGGGAGCAAACAGG